AGUGAACGCUGGCGGCGUGGAUUAGGCAUGCAAGUCGAGCGAUCCCGCAAGGGAUAGCGGCAAAAGGGUGAGUAACGCGUAAGUAAUUUUCCCUCGAGACAAGGAUAGCACUGUGAAAACGGUGGUAAUACUCGAUGUUAUCGGGUGCCCGCAUGGGCGACCGAUCAAAGACGGGGACCGUAAGGCCUGUCACUCGGGGAUGAGCUUGCGUAACAUCAGCUAGUUGGUAGGGUAAUGGCCUACCAAGGCUAAGACGUUUAGCUGGUCUGAGAGGAUGGUCAGCCACACUGGGACUGAGACACUGCCCAGACUCCUACGGGAGGCUG
rnacentral:rRNA from 1 species